GAUGGUUUGUUGUUAUUCCAGGCACAGCCUGUGAGUGGUAUGUGGUCCUUAUAGUGUACCUGACCUACUUCUGUCUCCUCCCUCAUAAUGAUUGUCUUAACGUUUGUGUGUGUGAAGCUGCUCACCCUUGGAGGACUCUCCUGUGUCGCCACUCUCCUUUCGUACAGUUUUCCCAUCAGGAAGAUGGGACUUGAGCACCUGCAUCUCCUCCCCUCAUCUCCAUCAAGUCCUUAUUUUAUUUUAUUUUUUAAAGGUCUGCCUAACAUGGUUUGGCCUCAGACAACUUCUGACUUUUUUUUAAAGUGCUCUAAAGUGAGACAGUAUAGCUAUUUAACUGGUUUCAUCAUGUACUUGACACUUAUGUAAAGCUGCAUUGUGUAGCUUUUUAUCAAAUAUUUUUCUAUCUAUUGAAUCUAUCACCAUAUUGUGCCAGUAAUAUGACACUACUCCCAAUCAUGCUCCUCUGGCUUCUCCCAGUGCUAAUUAGAAACAACCAAUCAGAGCCAGAGGGAGGGCCUCUGUGCUGUCAAUCAUGGUCAGAAACAUAUGCUAACACCCUUGCCCUUGCUAUGCUAACGGCUUCUUCCUGAUGGUAUUGUCCAUCAUAACUGCUCAGGCUAGUUGGCAUGGCCACCAACGAUUUGGCCACUUUUGUCUUAAUUAUCCAGCUGGACAUUUUUCUGUUUCUCCAUUGAUGGUUUCAGAUGCCAAUGGUAUCAUUGGGAGGAGUGGUGAUCUAUUCACAGGUCUCCAUAUUACACUGUCAUGACACGGUGGGUUUAAACAAAUAUGUCAAUACUUGCUCCUUAACUUAGUUUUUGUUUUCAGUUAAUACCAAUCAGUGGGUCAUGUUUCCUUCUAUUAAUACUGAAACUCCAAACUUAUCAGUCAGUAAAGUUUGUUCUCUUCUGU